CUACGGGUUGCUGCAGUCGAGGAAAUUUUACAAUGCUCGCAAGAGUGAUAGAAUAAACCAAAGUGUUUCAUUUAAUGAAACUUUUAUCUGUUGUAAAAAGACAGAUGAAUAAGGACUGGGCAAGACCGGUGCCAGCCGCCGCGGUAAUACCGGCGGUCCAAGUCGUAUCCACAUUUAUUGGGUCUAAAACAUUCGUAGCUUGUUUGAUAAGUUUCUUGUGAAAUCCUAUAUCUCAAGUAUAGGGCGGGCAAGAAAUACUGUCUUACUAGAGACCGGAAGACGCAAAGAGUAUGGUUGAGGUAGCGGUAAAAUGUGUUAAUCUCAAUUAGACUAACAAUGGCGAAGGCACUUUGCGAGUACGGAUCUGACAGUGAGGGAUGAAGGCUAGGGGCGCAAAAGGGAUUAGAUACCCCGGUAGUC
rnacentral:rRNA from 1 species